rnacentral:rRNA from 1 species
UAAUACAGGGGGUGCAAGCGUUGUUCGGAAUUACUGGGCGUAAAGGGAGCGUAGGCGGAUCUACAAGACAGUGGUUAAAUCUCCGGGCUCAACCUGGAACUUGCCUUUGUGACUGUGGAUCUUGAGUAUGGUAGAGGUUGGCGGAAUUUCCGGUGUAGCGGUGGAAUGCGUAGAGAUCGGAAAGAACACCAGAGGCGAAGGCGGCCAACUGGACCAAUACUGACGCUGAGGCUCGAAAGCGUGGGGAGCAAACAGG